AGUGAUUAGGGAGACUUGCCCUUGUAUAAGUGAAUAACAAUUGUACUAGCUUGAUAGUGAUUGGUAAUGAAAUAUCUUUCUUCAUCUCUUUGUUGUUAUCUUUAUUACAACUUUAUGCCCAACUAUUAUUGAAAUGAAGACCUCAAGUAUAAAGUCAUUUAAAGAAUUCAAUAGUUGUCUGCCUUUAAAUGAGUCAAGAUAAACUUAGGUCUUUGACAAACUCUUGCACAUCAUAGAAGGAGUCGAUGAUAAGCUUUAUCACUUCACCAAGC
rnacentral:lncRNA from 1 species